UUAAAUAAAGAGGCAUCGGAUGAAAAGGAAUAUGACCUGGUUCGUGAGGGUGUUGUUAUAUUCACUGGAGCACUGGCAAAGCACCUAGCAAAAGAUGAUCCAAAAGUCCACACUGUUGUGGAAAAGCUGUUGGAGGUGUUGA